UGAAGAAAUCAAUCACAUGUUUACUUAGCUAAAGAUGAUAGUAGCUUGAUUGUAAACAUCCUCUUUUUUUUAUUGAGUGUUAAUAUCCUGCUAGACUACAAGAUAGACAGCUAGAUUAUUCCUAAAUGUUUGUGGUGUGCAUACAUGCAACAUUAUUGAUUGUAAACAUCCUCUUGCUUCUAAAUGUUUGUGGUGUGCAUACAUGCAACAUCCGAUUUUGUGUGUGUUGAUUAGAUCCUUGGAUUUGGGGUAGGUUUCAAAUCGAUUGAGUUUGUUCUAUUCAUCUGUCAUCUCUGUGACAGAGAAAUCGAUUCCUAUGGUUGAUGAUAUUUGAUUUGCUGUUUAAUAUUGACAGAGAAAGCUUGUUGAUUGUGAUGGUGUGAUGAGCUCACAAUGGAGGAUAAACUCUCUAUUGUACAAGAGCAGAGAGCUAAGAAUGCUGAGCUAAAGGCUAAAUCUCGGGCUCUCAAGUUGAAGAAGUUGAGUCUGAUUCUGAUAUAGAUCAAGCAGGUUUGGAACUUGAAUUCUGAUUUGUUUGUUUGCGUUUUUAUGCUAGGUGAAGCAGCAAAAGAUGUUGGAGUCAUUGUGCCCAUUGCUCCAGCUUCUGCAGAUGAUGAAGAUGGCCCUCCUGAGUAGAUCUCUAAUGAAGAAGCAGUUGCCAAGCAUCUGAAGCUGGAGAUGUCAAUUGCAGCCUCUGCCUCUGCCCGUGUCAACCCCUUUAGUGAAUCUACUCAGUAUUUCGACUGGCUUAACUUGGAGAAGACUUAUCGUGAACUGAGCCCUGCGGAGCAACAAUACUUUGUCACUGCUUCUCUCGCUGGCCACUUUGAAUAAAGGAGAAACCUUAAUAACUGAGCUUUGCGCCAAUAGUAUCUGGUUUCUAUAUGGCGGUGCAAAAUAAAUUUUUUUAAUUCUUCGUAACUACAAAACGCUACUUUGAUAUGACUUGAAUAAUGUCUGGAUUCUACUUCUUGCACAAUCUGAUAUGUUUAGUGCCUUUCUUUUGGGCGUUACAUGCAUCUUUGCUUCUUAUUGCCUUGUCUGAGAAUAUUUUGUCAAACAUGAUUCAGUUUAAUUCUUUGUUUGAUGGGGUUA